GUGCUUGGGCGAGAGUAGUACUAGGAUGGGUGACCCCCUGGGAAGUCCUCGUGUUGCACCCCCWCCUUCUUUUUGCAUCUAUUUUGCCAUUUUGAGGAAAAUGGUGAAAGGAAAUGCGCGUACGAGUGAACGUGGCYUAAUAAACACGCGCGCGCUACGUAAAACUCAAAAUGUGCGGCGCCGACAAGUUGGAACAUAGGCACAAAAUCGGAUAAUCCUAACGUUUCGGAAUAUAGGAGUAAAAAGGGAAAAGGAAAA
rnacentral:rRNA from 1 species